rnacentral:rRNA from 1 species
CGCGUAGGCGGAUUGGAAAGUUGGGGUGAAAUCCCGGGGUUCAACUUCGGAAUUGCCUUCAAAACUUCUAGUCUUGAGGUCGAGAGAGGUGAGUGGAAUUCCGAGUGUAGAGGUGAAAUUCGUAGAUAUUCGGAGGAACACCAGUGGCGAAGGCGGCUAUCUGGGCCUUAACUGACGCUGAAGCGCGAAAGUGUGGGGAGCAAACA